CUACGGGACGCACCAGUUAGGAAUAUUCUACAAUGCGCGCAAGCGUGAUAGAUUGAGUCAGAGUGCGCUUCAAUUUGGAGCGCUUUUGCCAAAUCUAAAAAGUUUGGCGAAUAAGGACUGGGUAAGACGAGUGCCAGCCGCCGCGGUAAUACUCGCGGUCCAAGUCGCAGCCAUUUUUAUUGGGUCUAAAACAUCCGUAGCUUGCUUGUUAAGUUCCUUGUGAAAUUUCAUAUCUUAAAUAUGAAGCGUGCAAGGAGUACUGGAAAGCUAGAGACUGGGAGACGUAAGAAGUACGUUCAAAGUAACGGUUAAAUGUGUUAAUCUUGGACGGACUCACAACAGCGAAGGCAUCUUACGAGAACAGUUCUGACAGUCAGGGAUGAAGGCUAGGGGCGCAAAACGGAUUAGAUACCCCUGUAGUC
rnacentral:rRNA from 1 species